rnacentral:lncRNA from 1 species
AUUAAAGGAGCAAAACAAUUUGUCCUUUAGCGUUUUUGGACCUAAACGUAAAAAAGUAACCUUUUGGGCCAAAGUGCAAUACACAAAAGUAUCAAAACUUUAUGUAAUUGCAUAAAAGACCCAAAAGUACUCCCAUUGAGGGAGGGCCGGUUUUUAGAGAGGGAAAGGGAGUGGAGAUAAGUCCACAAAAAUUUGGAAAUUUUUUCAACAAUUUCAUAAAGCCUUGCAAGUGGAAUUUGUGACAUAAAUUCAUGCAAGUGAUGUUGUGUAAGAAGUGUGUGUAAGAGAAGUACUUCUUACACACCUAUCACCAUUUCCAUCACCUUACACAAUUUCUAUCACAUUAAAACAUUUGAUAAAGCACAAAACAAAAACUUUAUGAAAUAAAUCAAAACUUUGAAUCAAAACACAAACCUUUUUGUUCUUGGCAAAAAUGUCAAGAACAAUGAAGAACACUCAUGAAAAACCCAAAAAUUUUCCAUGAACAUUUUUCACCCAAAAACAUUCCAAAACCAUUCAAACUUUAGGGAAAUAACAUCUAACCAAAAUAGGGUACAUAGGGGUUCCAAAAGUCACUUGAAAACACUUUUAACAAGUCAAA